rnacentral:tRNA from 1 species
GGGCCCGUGGCGCAGCAGGAUAGCGCGGCAGACGAAAGGCUGAACCUCCUAAAAAUGAGGAAAGCUGUAGGUCCGGGGUUCAAAUCCCCGCGGGCCCG